UGGGGAAUAUUGGACAAUGGGCGCAAGCCUGAUCCAGCCAUGCCGCGUGAGUGAUGAAGGUCCUAGGGUUGUAAAGCUCUUUCACCGGUGAAGAUAAUGACGGUAACCGGAGAAGAAGCCCCGGCUAACUUCGUGCCAGCAGCCGCGGUAAUACGAAGGGGGCUAGCGUUGUCCGGAUUUACUGGGCGUAAAGCGCACGUAGGCGGACUUUUAAGUCAGGGGUGAAAUCCCGGGGCUCAACCCCGGAACUGCCUUUGAUACUGGAAGUCUUGAGUAUGGUAGAGGUGAGUGGAAUUCCGAGUGUAGAGGUGCAAUUCGUAGAUAUUCGGAGGAACACCAGUGGCGAAGGCGGCUCACUGGACCAUUACUGACGCUAAGGUGCGAAAGCGUGGGGAGCAAACAGG
rnacentral:rRNA from 1 species